rnacentral:rRNA from 1 species
CCAGUCGAACGAUGAAGCCCAGCUUGCUGGGUGGAUUAGUGGCGAACGGGUGAGUAACACGUGAGUAACCUGCCCCCGACUCUGGGAUAAGCCCGGGAAACUGGGUCUAAUACCGGAUAUUACCUUUGACCGCAUGGUUGUUGGUGGAAAGAUUUAUCGGUGGGGGAUGGACUCGCGGCCUAUCAGCUUGUUGGUGAGGUAAUGGCUCACCAAGGCGACGACGGGUAGCCGGCCUGAGAGGGUGACCGGCCACACUGGGACUGAGACACGGCCCAGACUCCUACGGGAGGCAGCAGUGGGGAAUAUUGCACAAUGGGCGAAAGCCUGAUGCAGCGACGCCGCGUGAGGGAUGACGGCCUUCGGGUUGUAAACCUCUUUCAGUAGGGAAGAAGCGAAAGUGACGGUACCUGCAGAAGAAGCGCCGGCUAACUACGUGCCAGCAGCCGCGGUAAUACGUAGGGCGCAAGCGUUAUCCGGAUUUAUUGGGCGUAAAGAGCUCGUAGGCGGUUUGUCGCGUCUGCCGUGAAAGUCCGAGGCUCAACCUCGGAUCUGCGGUGGGUACGGGCAGACUAGAGUGAUGUAGGGGAGACUGGAAUUCCUGGUGUAGCGGUGAAAUGCGCAGAUAUCAGGAGGAACACCGAUGGCGAAGGCAGGUCUCUGGGCAUUUACUGACGCUGAGGAGCGAAAGCAUGGGGAGCGAACAGGAUUAGAUACCCUGGUAGUCCAUGCCGUAAACGUUGGGCACUAGGUGUGGGGGACAUUCCACGUUUUCCGCGCCGUAGCUAACGCAUUAAGUGCCCCGCCUGGGGAGUACGGCCGCAAGGCUAAAACUCAAAGGAAUUGACGGGGGCCCGCACAAGCGGCGGAGCAUGCGGAUUAAUUCGAUGCAACGCGAAGAACCUUACCAAGGCUUGACAUGUGCCAGACCGCCUCAGAGAUGGGGUUUCCCUUCGGGGCUGGUUCACAGGUGGUGCAUGGUUGUCGUCAGCUCGUGUCGUGAGAUGUUGGGUUAAGUCCCGCAACGAGCGCAACCCUCGUUCCAUGUUGCCAGCACGUAAAGGUGGGGACUCAUGGGAGACUGCCGGGGUCAACUCGGAGGAAGGUGGGGAUGACGUCAAAUCAUCAUGCCCCUUAUGUCUUGGGCUUCACGCAUGCUACAAUGGCCGGUACAAUGGGUUGCGAUACUGUGAGGUGGAGCUAAUCCCUAAAAGCCGGUCUCAGUUCGGAUUGGGGUCUGCAACUCGACCCCAUGAAGUCGGAGUCGCUAGUAAUCGCAGAUCAGCAACGCUGCGGUGAAUACGUUCCCGGGCCUUGUACACACCGCCCGUCAAGUCACGAAAGUUGGUAACACCCGAAGCCGAUGGCCUAACCACCUUGUGUGGGG